AGAAGCGGGAAUGGAUUUUUAUGUUAAGUGUGGCCGGUGGCCACCAUGACCUUUUGUCUUCACCCAACUCCUCUAUCCAAAACACAAAAUCCCACCAUCUUUCACACCCCGCCUCGCAAAAUCCCUUUGUCUUCAACCUUUUUCUCCUCAUAAAAUCUUUUUGUCUUCACCUUUCCUUUAAUUUUCAAUUGUUAGGACGGAAGUUCCGAAAGUGCCAAGAAGGAAAUCUAGAUUAAUCAUAUUAAUGGACAAGAGUUGGAUUGGUAAAUCUGGAGUUAUUUAGAUGGAGUAGCCUCAUUUCUAAACUUUGCAUUUGAGAAUGCAUCUCAAGAUGGAAAGAUUUUGUGUCCAUGCAAAAAAUGUGGAAACACAUUUCGGCUUGAUAGAGAAAAUGUCUGUGAUCAUUUAGUAUGUAAUGGAUUUGCUAGAGGAUAUACUUGUUGGAUUUUUUAUGGUGAAUCUACUUUGGAUCGUUCAGUUGGCCAAAAUCAAGUUUUGAAUGAAUCUUCCAUUCAUGAAAAUUUAGAUGUAGAUGGACGUAAUAACAUGCAAGACAUGUUACAAGAGGCUUUUGGAUAUUUUGAUGAGAAUGCAUUUCAAGGAGUUGGAGUCGAUGUUGAUGACACAACCAGUGAAACACCAAAUAUUGAUGCAUCAAUUUUUUGCGACUUGGUUACGGAUUGUAAUUAUGAGUUAUAUCCGGGAUGUAUAAGUUUUUCAAACUUUCAUUUAUUGUUCGCCUAUAUGAUAUCAAAUGUAUGAGUGGUUGGAGUAA